GCGCGUACAGAUGCGACCUGAUCGCGGUGGUAGAAGAUGGCGGACGGCGGCUCCGAGGAUAAUAUUGUGCGAGCGAUCACGUGUGCGUCGAGAACGUAGGGCCGGUCGUGAGUCGUGAGCGACCCUUAAACGAGCGAGAAACACAAAUAAUGACCGAACGUGGAUAUGGCGACGCCGCCGUUUGAACGAUCGGUCGGCGGUAGGUGCCUAUACAGAAUGGUCGAUAGGUAUCAAUAUAGCGCACGAGUAAAAACGAACGGCGGCUAUAAGCGCCCUCGCGCACGUACGUUUUGGUAGACCGAAGUCGGUCGAGGCUCGCUGAGAGCGAACGAUAAAGGCGAAACGGGAAAUGUCCGACGGGCGAUAUACGACGGUAAUCCAAACGGGUAGGUAAAAAUGCACCCGUGACGGCAUCGGGUCGAUGAGACACGGGCGGUCCGACACAAGCGACACACAAGACGAAACAGAUUUGCGCGCACGGCGAAUACCAAUUCGUAUAAACCGCGACACGAUACGUCGGCUGCAAUACAAACGGACGCGGAAUCUUGAGGUUUUGACGAUGGCGGCACAUCGGAUCGUAUAAACGGUUUUGCGAAAGCACGUUUUGAACACACAACAAGGACGGAACGGUAGAACGCCCGUGGACACAUGGACAUAGCGUUAACGGACGAACGACAACGGAACGACGGCAGCAUGGCUGCCGUAGGCGACAAGCGCGACUCGGCGUCCUCUCACCCGACAAGUCCCGUUGCAACUUAUUGGACCGCAAUAACGGGG